rnacentral:lncRNA from 1 species
AAAUAACUUUCUAACUAGUCAUUUAAGAGCAACUCCCGGGAAACUGUGAUGCAAUCCCACAUAUCAGCCAGACUUCAAAAGCUGCCAGAUUAUUGUGAAAGGAGAAACACUGUUUUCGAAGGCUGCUGAUAAUGCCUAUUAGCCAGAAGAAAGAGCCUGAAUCAUUCAAAGGUUUUCCAUCUAGUAAAGAAGUGUGGUAAAAAUCUUGCCCAGAUCUGCAUGUGCUAAGCAUCUACGUAAGUUGGAGCAUCAUAUUAAUGACACCCAGUGAAGAAACGAAAGAAUGAAGUGUAAUUACUAUAUCAAAAAUCCACAGAAUGUGAAAGUAUAAAGGAAAACUCUCAGGUGAGACUCGAUUAUUUUUAUUUCAAAGAUCUAGGUAAAAAUGUGAACAGAUUGGGAGGCUGAGGCAGGAGAAUCACUUGAACCCAGGAGGCAGAAGUUGCAGUGAGCCAAGAUUGCACCAUUGGACUCCAGCCUGGGCAACAGACAAGACUCUAUCUCAAAAAAAAAAUGUGAACAGAUAUAUUGACAUAAAAUUCAUAAAACAUAUGGAUAUACUAAAAACUAGGAAGUCUGGUUGCUUCUGAGGAUAAGAGUUGAGGACCUGUUUCAAGAAUACUUUGCACAGCUUGUACUAUUGCAGUAUUUGAAUUUUUUCUUGUACAUGUAUAACUUUUUUAAAAAGAAUGAGAAAUGCUGUACAAGUGCAACUAUUUUUACUCUGCUCAGCUAAAAACUUUGGAGUUAGACAUAUGGACAGCCCACCCCAAGGGAAGAAUCAGAGGAGAAGGGACACAAGACCCCAGAAACACACAAAGCACCUUAAUAUGCAUGCUGCAUCUCUCUAAAAUUGUGGAACCUGUUUACCUGCUCUGGAGAAUGGCUGCCUGUGGCAGACAUAGGAGUUGUCCUCAUGCUGUGCUUCCUAUCUUCCACAGUAAUUGACUUGUAGCUGCAAUACAGUUACCAACCAGGAAUACAAUUUCUCAGCCCCAUGUCUUGCACCUACAGCUAAGUGUGGCCAUGUGACCAGUUUUCACCAAUUAAGUGUGAAUAGCAACAAAGUGCACCACCUUCAAUUGGAGGCUUUGAAGAAGCAGGGCAGCCUUCCCUUGCUCUCUUUCCCCUUGUUCUGGUGGGAUACAGAUGACAAUAAGGCCCUGGGUUUUGAGGUAGCCACAAGAUGCAAAAUACCUCAGACCUGAGUCACCACAAGGAAGAGAGAAGCCCACUGACAUGGAAUACCCAGCCUAGUCUACAGAUGAAUAAGAAAUAAACUUCUAUUAUGUUCGAACAUUACAGAUUUUGUUCUGUUAUAGCAGUUUAUCUCACCCUGACUAAACUGUUGCCUAUCUUCCAAGAUAGGCCCUCCUUCCCUGAAAGUGACUUUUUCAUACAUGUAAUCUGUAUUUUAAUUCAUAUUCUCCAAAGCAUAUCCACAUCUAUUCAACUAUUUUCAUGUCUUCCAUCAAU